GAUGAACGCUGGCGGCGUGCCUAAUACAUGCAAGUCGAGCGAACAGACGAGGAGCUUGCUCCUCUGACGUUAGCGGCGGACGGGUGAGUAACACGUGGAUAACCUACCUAUAAGACUGGGAUAACUUCGGGAAACCGGAGCUAAUACCGGAUAAUAUAUUGAACCGCAUGGUUCAAUAGUGAAAGACGGUUUUGCUGUCACUUAUAGAUGGAUCCGCGCCGCAUUAGCUAGUUGGUAAGGUAACGGCUUACCAAGGCGACUAUGCGUAGCCGACCUGAGAGGGGGAUAGGCGACACUGGAAGUGAGACACGGACCAGACUCCUACGGGAGGCAGCAGUAGGGAAUCUUCCGCAGUGGGCGAAAGCCUGACGGAGCAACGGCGCGUGAGUGAUGAAGGUCUUCGGAUCGUAAAACUCGGUUAUUAGGGAAGAACAAAUGUGUAAGUAACUAUGCACGUCUUGACGGUACCUAAUCAGAAAGCCACGGCUAACUACGUG
rnacentral:rRNA from 1 species